GGUUGUAUAGUGUAGCGGCCAUCACUCCGGAUUCUGAAAUGUAAAAAAGCUUGUUCUUUCCAUUUGAAAGGCCUUCCGGCAACCCCGGUUCGAUUCCGGGUACGACCU